rnacentral:lncRNA from 1 species
UUUGGCAAGCUUCGCCUCCUCGGCAAGGUUCACAAACUUCGACACCGCCGAUUCACUGGUCUUCACAUCCUCCGAAGUCAUCACGAUAUCCCCAAAAACUAUUAGAAAUAAUCUAAAUUUGGAAUAAUUAACAAAAAUAAAAAUAUGUUUGUAAAAGAUCGAUGAUCAAAUCCGCGAUUCGGUCGUCAAUGAAAAUACUUCUGGAGUAUUUGCACUCUCUCUUCACCGUCGCGGCGAUUGUUGGCGGGAAAGUGAGAGAGAUUGGGAAAUGCGGCACAAAGAGUGUUCGGUGUGGUUACGAGAGGCGGCGUUUACGAAAAAACAGAGUAUUCGCCGGCUUGAUUAUGAAUAGGAUUGUGUGGCUUAAAUUCUAUUUCCGUUUGCUUCAGUUUGGCCCAACUAAUUUAUAAAUGGUUUAUAAGUACAAUUAAAUUUAAACAUUUAUAAAUUUCCCAAACUAUAUAUCUAAGUUAACUAAUGUGGAAAUUUUUU